UGGGGAAUCUUGCGCAAUGGGCGAAAGCCUGACGCAGCGACGCCGCGUGCGGGAUGACGGCCUGGUUGUAACCGCUUUCAGCAGGGACGAGGCCGCAAGGUGACGGUACCUGCAGAAGAAGCCCCGGCUAACUACGUGCCAGCAGCC
rnacentral:rRNA from 1 species